CAAAUUUAAGCAAGAACUUUUAUAUUAAAAAUCUUUAUUGAGUCACUUUUUUAAUUAUUAUUUGAAGGAGAUAUGAAAAGAUUUUUUUGCUAAGAGGCAUGCAAAGCAAGCAACUAGCUGGAGUGUUUUAAAGGGCGCAGUCGAGCAUAUUAUAAUGUUAGAAAUAGUUAGUACAUUCAGAAACCAAAAUAACUAAGAAAUCUCAGUGGGCUUAAGGAAUUAAUAGGAAAAAUAUGAAAAGAAAAACAAAAAUUACAUGAGAUUGCAUUAAAUCAUGGGUGAUCUCAAAGAAAGAGACUAGAUAAUAGACGUUUAGUCUUUUUCCAGAACUAGAAGAUAAUAAGAUCCUAAUAUCCAGGAACUUCAAGGUUUUAUAAGUACGUUGGCUGAAAAUGUGAAAGAUGGUUUGAUGAAGU
rnacentral:lncRNA from 1 species